CCCUUAGAUGUUCUGGGCCGCACGCGCGCUACACUGUUCGACGCAGCGAGUCUUAACCUUGACCGAAAGGUUUGGGUAAUCUUCAGCAAAGUCGAACGUGAUGGGGAUCGAUCAUUGCAAUUAUUGAUCGUGAACGAGGAAUUCCUAGUAAGUGCAAGUCAUCAGCUUGCGCUGAUUACGUCCCUGCCCUUUGUACACACCGCCCGUCGCUACUACCGAUUGAAUGGUUUAGUGAGAUCUCUGGAUUGACGCUGGCUAGGGGGCGACCCUUGGCCAGACUGUUGAGAAAUUGCUCAAACUUGAUCAUUUAGAGGAAGUAAAAGUCGUAACA
rnacentral:rRNA from 1 species